UACGAGGGGGGCAAUUGUUGUUCGGAAUCACUGGGCGUAAAGGGAGCGUAGGCGGGUUCUUAAGUAAGGUGUUUAAUCCCGGGGCCCAACCCCGGACCGGCACUUUAAACUGGGAAUCUUGAAUAGUGGAGAGGUCAGUGGAAUUGGGGGUGUAGCGGUGGAAUGCGUAGAGAUCCCCAAGAACACCAGUUGCGAAGGCGGCUGACUGGACACAUAUUGACGCUGAGGUGCGAAAGCGUGGGGAGCAAACAGG
rnacentral:rRNA from 1 species